AGCUAUCAGGGAGAGUUCAGCCAGGGUAAAUUUAAUGGUGUAGGUGUUUUUUUAAGAUGUGAUGGAAUGAAGUUUGAAGGCGAAUACAGGGAUGGAAAAGUCAACGGAAAUGGUCUUCUGACGUUUGCUGAUGGUACCCAUGGUCUCCCACGAAAUGAAGGACUGUUUCAAGGGACCCGGUUUAUUGAAAGGAAGAAAUGUCCAGAAAUUGUUCAAAGAGCACAACGUGCUGCAACAAUAGCCAAAGCACAGCAUUUGUAGGGAUGUAUCAAUCUGCAAUAUCAAUAUACAAACUACAAAAAUCACAGGGAAAAGAUUUUUUUUUAAGAUUGACGUUUUCGGAGUUCUUUCAAACAUUCCAUUCUGCUGUGUGAGGGCGCUGCAUAUACAAUAUUCUAGUGUAAAGAACUGUUUGAAUUUGGUGUAGUCAAAAAUCAAUAUGGGAGCUAUUUUGAUGUAUGUGAAUUAACUGAAUCGCAAUUUCAUUUUUUAUAAAAUUGUUCAUUUGACAAAAUUUACAUGAAAUUUUUUUAAAUAAAUGUGUAACGUGCCAGCGUUAUUAUACCAGUAACAGGUAAAGUAUACUCACAAUAAAGAUUACACUACUGUGAUGCCAGACAGUGAUGAUUUGACUUUCUGAAAUAAUCUCAAACUGAUUUGACAGUUAAAUAUAAUAAAAAAUAACCAAAUAAACAAGAAAAUAAAAAUGUUUAUUUAUUGUGAAUUAUUUAUCGACAAAUUAUUCAAGUAUGAACAUUCAGUAUGAAAUGAUACAGGUGCGUUCUGAUCAACCAGAAAUAUAAUGACCCCCGCCAUAUGCACUAGAUUAUGGUAGAAAUUGAAUAAACUUUCUUAUUUUACAAAGAACUCGGAAAUCUUCAAGCAUGGGAGCAUGAACUUUGGUGACCUCAGUCGCCAUUUUGAAAUUAAUUUCUGUAAUAUAUUUUAUAUUUGUACAUGGAAGAUAGUAUGAAAUAUGUGAAAAAUAUGCAAAUUAUAUGCAAAUUAUUCACCUAUCAAGCAUUACAGUUCUUAUGAAUAUAUAAACAUGUGCCUUUAUGUGUCAUUAUUAAGGAAAUUAUUCAUGUCAGUGCCUAUGUACAUCAACAGAUGUUUUUAAUCAAUGAGGCAUUGUAUUCCGGUCUAGACAACUGUGUGUUGAUAGAUGAUUUAUACACUGACUUUCCAUUAACCUAGUAGGUACCAUUGUAAUUUUCUGCAAAAUAAAUUAAUGUUUUUCAGCU